rnacentral:rRNA from 1 species
UACGGAGGGUGCGAGCGUUGUCCGGAUUUAUUGGGUUUAAAGGGUGCGUAGGCGGCCUGUUAAGUCGGCGGUGAAAGUCUGUGGCUCAACCAUGGAACUGCCGUUGAUACUGGCUGGCUUGAGUGCCGGUGGGGUACAUGGAAUUGAUGGUGUAGCGGUGAAAUGCAUAGAUACCAUCAGGAACACCGAUAGCGUAGGCAUUGUACUUACCGGCAACUGACGCUGAGGCACGAAAGCGCGGGUAUCGAACAGG